rnacentral:rRNA from 1 species
UACGUAGGUGGCGAGCGUUAUCCGGAAUUACUGGGUGUAAAGGGUGUGUAGGCGGGAGUGCAAGUCAGACGUGAAAACUAUGGGCUCAACCCAUAACGUGCGUUUGAAACUGUGCUUCUUGAGAGUGGGAGAGGUAAACGGAAUUCCUGGUGUAGUAGUGAAAUGCGUAGAUAUCAGGAGGAACACCGGUGGCGAAGGCGGUUUACUGGACCACAACUGACGCUGAGACACGAAAGCGUGGGGAGCAAACAGGAUUAGAAACCCU